UUCCUGGAGACGCUGCAGUGUGGCGGCGCUCCCGGCGCCGCGCAUCCCCCGUGCCGCCUCCGCCUCCCCGCCCGCUUCGCCUCGCCCUGCCCUGCCCGCCGGCGGCCGCUCCUGAAACUUAGCGUCCGCCGAGCGCGGGGGGUCGAGCAGCAGAGCCGCGCGCGGGGCGGUCCGCCGCGCACCCCGCUCCGCUCCGCGCUGCAGCCUCGCCCCGGGAGGGGCCCGGGCAGAGUGCUGAAGGACGCGCCGGCGGCGCCCGCCCCGGUUGCCAGGGAGAAAAGAAAAAGGACCUUUUCUGAGCUGUGAAGAAACUACAGACUGACUGAUAGAGCCUUUCAAGAUUUCCCUGUGAAAAGAAAAUUUUGUUGAUGCCAGUCAUAUAAGUCCUACGUGCUGGAAAGACACUCACAUACUGUCAGGGCACUAUUCAAGAAUCAAGAACUAAGGCAUUGAUGCAGGGAAUGCCACCAUUAGAGCUGAAAAGAGUUGCUACCAUCUGUAGAUCUGUCUCAUAAGAAAGGCUGUCAGUAGGUAUUAACAUUUCUUUUUGGUGGUUUGUAUUACAGAUUUUUUAUAUUUUUAACUUUUUUUUUUUUUUUUUUUUUUUUUUUUUUUUUUUUUUGAACUAAUACUUCACUUACUUUCUCUUCUGGAAUCCAACUUUCCAAUGAUAAAUGAAAAUCCCUAGACUGUAGAUGGAUGCAUCUUGCCUUCUGUAAUCAUUUCCAUCUUAAAGGCAAACCUUUAAGCAACAAUGAAAAAUUGAUUUUUGCAUAGAUCUGUGACACAUUGAUCCAUUAGAAAUAAAGAGCACAGUAAUGCAAAAUUUACUUCAUUUAAUCUCUUGAAACUUAUUAAACUGUAUAAUGUGCUUGGAGGAAAGUAACCUACCGUCUUACAGUGGCAACACAGGUUGCAAUGAGAUUUCUGUUUUUUGGCCAUGGAGAAUGAAUCAGACAUACCAAGGGAUUUUUUGUGCGAAAAUAAAACUGUCACAAAGCCAUAUAGUUAAGUGUAGGUCUUACUCUCCCUUUUAAGGAGAAUGAAAUUGCUGGUGCAAAAAAGGUUUCUUUCUUCCUACAGCGCUGCAUAUACUGUGCUACAAUCUAAAACUGCAGCAAUUAUACAGAGCAGUUAAAUAAAAUGAGAACAAUCAAACAGUCAGCUCACUGAGCCAGAGGUGGUACUUGGAGUCCCUGCUGUUUCUCUCAGUCAAUCUCAGCAUCAGUGAUGGUCAGGAAAUAGACUUCAUUUUCCUGCAUAUGUUUAUGUGGUGGGGGGGCACAUGAAAGAGUUUGCAAAGAUGAGGCAGAUAAGUUUAAUGUGGUUUGGAAUGUCUUCUGGUCCCAACAUAGGGUUGUUCAAGUCAUACACAUAAAAUUUUGUGACAAGUUGCCUCAAAAAAAAAAAAAAAUCUUUAUAUCUGUUAUACAUAGGACAUUUUAAAUAUCUCCAGUGUAGAGGUAAGGGAACAGCUGUGGAUCAAACCUAUCUACAGUAGUUAUUCUGUGAGGUAGGUUGGAAAUCACGACUCUGAAAGUCUAAGGCUGUAGUUUUAUGAUAGCCUAAAACUGCAUUUUUGCUGGAAAUUGUAAUCUUACCCUCCUUUGUUGUUCCAGCAUUAAGCUCUAAUGGAAUAAUUUUCAGCCGGACAGGUCGUGUUGCUGACACACAAGGAAUAAUAGUUAUGUGCAUGUAGGAAGUAGGGCAGAAUAUCACCUGUCUUGGCAGCAGCAAAGCCCUAAAUCUGUUUAAGCAGCUCCUGAAAGCAUUCCAGUACUCAACCUACAGAGAGGGACAGAAGGGAGUGGGUGCUGACACCACCGUUCUCCUUCCAUGUAGCAAAUGACACAUCACUAAUGGCACAUGCUCUGUAUUGUAACAGAUAAUGAGCUCCAGUCACUUUCAUAUAACUGAGCUACCUAAAUUAGUAAAAUCAGUUCCCAGAUUGGAUCCUGAGGUGUGGUGGAGUGACCUUGGCUGGCCACCAGAUGCCCACCCAGAAACUCUUACUCCCCCUCUUCAACCAGGACAGGGGAAGGAAAUAAGAUGGAAAAACUCACAGGUCAGAAUAAAGACAGGGACCGAUUUCAUUUAUUGCUGAUUAAAAUGGAUUUGAAUGGUGGGAAAGAAAAAACUAUGACACCAGCUCCCCAGUUGCCACUUUUUCCCAAGCUUAACUUCACUCCUUCACUUCUAGCUCCUCCAUUUCCUUGUGCCCAAGCAGCACAGAGGGUGGAGGAAUGGGCUGUACUCAGUCCCUAGCAGUUUUCCUCUGCCAUUUCUUUCUCCUCACACUUUCCCUUGCUCUACUAUGUCUCCUUCCUUAAAGAACAGUCUUUCAAGAGCCGCACCAUUAUGGACUCUCCAUGGGCUUCAGUGUGAUUAUCUGCUCUGGUAUGGUCCUCUUCAUGGUCUGUGGAGGGACAGCCUGCUUCACAGGAUUCAAGGGAGCUCAGCUUUCCUGCCUGGAAACUUCCUGCCUUCCUUCUUCACUAAUGUUGUUGUCUGCAGAGCUGUUUCUCUCACAAUUUUUAUUUCUCCAGUCCUAUCUGCUGUCUUGUAUUCUUGCCCUUUCCUAAUCCAUAUUCCUUGUUCCAACUAGUCUUCUGGCCCAGCUGUAUCCAGCCCCGGGGCCACCCAGCCUCUCCUCACAGAGGAGCCCUGCAGCCUCCUGACAACACCAAUGUAUGCACACCCAAUACCCCAGGUCUUCUCUCAAACAGUUUAAACAGUGAAUGAAAGUAAAGGUAAUUUUUUCAGGAUACUCUUGAAAACUUUUUCUUAUUAACUAAUCUUUGGAACCUUGAAACUUUUUUCUGAUCUCACAGACACCUAUUUUGUAUUCACAUAAUACCAGUUGCAAGGGAGCUCUUCUCUCUAAGUACCUUUGAAAGUACAAGCAGAAUAAAUCCUAUGAUGUAUUCAAAAAUAAUAUUUAACUUCUUAAUUUUCAUUGAAUCCAAAAUUUGCAUGUCCAGGUUGUAUUAGGAAUGGAAGAGGGAGACCUCAGUGCCACAGGGGGGCAAACCCCAGAGCAUGCUGGAGGUGCUCACAAGACAUGGCAGGUGGAUGACCAGGGUCAGGCAUCUCUGCCAUGUCCCUUUCUGAUGCCCACUUGCUGUUUUAUUGCUGUGUGUUCUCCAGACCAUUGAUUAGAAUGCUUUCCUGAGAUGAAAUUCAUCCUCUGCUGUUGUCCCAAGAUUUCCCUGGUAAAGUUGGGUUAACACUGAUUCUUGCGUUUAAUAUUUAUAAUAUAAAUUUCACAGUGUCAGAAACAUAAUGGCCCAACCAAUGUUCUUUAUAGUAUGCCAGACUGGUUGGAACUGUUUGUACAAACAACUGAUAUAUUUUGUUCUCACCUUAAAAAAAAAAUAUAUUAUAUGGAAACCUUAUCUAUUUUUAAAAUACAAAUUCUUAUCUGUGCCUGACAGAUCACAUCACUAUGAGAGGUCCAAAAUUGGUGGUUCUCGGUAAAAUUUAAUUAUCUGGCACUUUCCAACAGCAGCUUGUCUACCACUGACAUGUAGAAUUUCAUUUUGUUCAAACAUCUUUUGUGUGUAUGUCUCCUUGAUAUUGAUAACAGUGGCUUGUGGUAAUGCUUAUCUCCUUUUGAUUCUGAAAAUGUAAUAAAGAAGGAGAAUACAAAGUAAUGGCUACAUGCAUUAGUUAGACAGACAUCCAUCAAAGCUUUGCAUGAGACUUAGCUUUUCAGAUAUCUCAGGCAACAGAGAUCAUAAAAGCAAUGUUAGGAUGGGAAGCGUGUCCACAAAACCAGAUAAAUCACUGUCCAAACAAGGAGCCAAGACAGAUCCACUUGUUCAUUCAUGGAAUUAUUCCCUUUCCCAAGCAUGUUUUGGAAUAUAUUGUUAAUUGCUAAUCACCAUGGUUCUCUCUCUUCAUAGCUACAGUAAUUGAACUUUUCAAGGCACAUAAGGCCUGGGUCCUUUCCACAAAAACUAGAAGAUUUGACAGCAGUAGGAAACCAGUGCAAAAGAGAGAAAAUAGUCUUUAUAAUCUGGUGUUUAUAGAUAAGAGUGGUUAGCUGAAAAGAAGUGUAGAAUUACAAACAUAGAACUCAAUCUCAUCUGUGUAACAACCCUAUCAUUAAAGACCUGUGCAUAUAAAUACAGGCAGCAAUACAUAGAAGUAUUGCUUUAUAGUUUCUAAAUUAAAUGUUUUAAAUACUGGAUAUUUUUAUAAAGAAAAUGUUUAAAUAUGUAACUUUCUGUGAGAUACUUGUGAGUAAUGAAAUGGACAGUAAGUACAUCCAGAUGUAUGUAUUGUACAGGUGCAUACUGGAAGUAUUUGGAGUAAGAGUUAAACAUGUCACAGAAAAAAAAAGCAAAAUUGCAUGGUUUUUAUGUUCAAAUAUGUUUGUCCAAUAAUUUCUAAUUUUGGGUCUGGCACAGAAACCCACUGUGUACACUGAAGACUGUAUGAUGUGUCUCACUUGGUUAAGCUUUCAUGGUGGGUGCCAGCAUCUACCUCUCUGGACUGUCAUUUAAAAAACAAGUUAGGAAUAAUAGUAAUGAUUUUGAAAAAUUUGUAUUAUGCUUGUUUUACUUUGUUUGGUUUUGAAAAAGUAGAAAGUGCAUUGUUGGUUGAUAAAAGACUAUAGUUUUGAAUCAGAAAAAAAAGUCAGUAAUUUGAGAGAGAAAAAUGAUUGAAGAUAGUAAGUCCAGCACUGGGAUUGCAUAGGAAUCAUAAAAAUAUUUUAAGGCAUUUUUUUUGUCCUGUGUCCAACUCAAACCAGCCAAGAGAGACUGAGUGUACAGACCUUGAUAUUCAAAUUUCAAGGUAUUUAUAAUCAGAGCUUCUCAAUACGGGAAUUUCCUAAAUCUUGUAAUUAAAGAAGUUACUCUUCAGUACACUGGAAAUCAUUUCCAUUUUCAUUUUAAAAGCUUUCAUUAUAAGACUACAUAAAUGGAGAAAAGCGUGCUACCAAUAGGUGAUAUUUUAAGCUUGAAUGGAAUUGACAAAAUGUGAAAUAAUUUCUGAGGUUGCUGAAAUCACAUUACAAACCAUGGAGGGUAAUUUACAUGAUAUAUUAGAUACUUUCUAACAAAAGUAUUUGUUUAGAAGCUGCAGUAUCUUUUUGGGAAUAUAUAUCUGUUUUGACUUUACAUUGCUAUACGUGCACAGUUGUCUUACUCUGUGGCUUUGACUUCGUAGCUCUUGACUUGUGCAGCCAGAUUUAAUGCUGACUGAAGACCAUGAGGAGAGACCUGUGUAUUUCACUGGCAGAGCAUCUGAUCUGAACGGAAAAAUGCUGUCAAUCUGCUAUGUGAGAAAUCUAGAAGUAUUUUUGGCUUUCUGAUAGGCUGUCAGUAGGCCUUGAUAGGUACAGUAAACAAUAUUAAGCUAUGCUGUGUGCCACAGAGAGUCUGUGCAUGGUGUGGUACAGCCUGUGUCUCAGGAGAAGCAGAGAGAAACUGCAAAGAGAUUUUCUGAGCUCAUCAUAUGAUUAUUUAACAGCCUUUCUGAUAAAGUUAGGUGGGUACAGCUGUGGGAAGACCAUACCCUUGAUAAACUCGUCACAGAUAUUGAAGAUGUAUAUCCAGUGAUCAGGGAUGAUAUAUUUUUCUUAGGCAGAGAAAAUGCACAUAGGGUAUCAAAGGCUUUAAGCAUUUCAGUUCUCAUACGAGGUCCAACUUUUGUUGUGGCUUCCAAGUGGGUUGUAAUAGCAUAGCUAACAGGGAAUCUUCUGUCCAAAGCACACAAGGCUAUACAGCUUGAUCUAACAUUAAAAAAAAAAACUGAGCAGCAAACAACUGUCACUUUCCAAUUAUCUACCCCUGGAUGAUGUCCAAGAGAAGACAUGUCAUACAUGCUGUGCAAUAGAUCUUUGAAGUAUGCAGAUAUAGGAGAGGAUGGACAGGAGGAUCUGUUAUGGUGAUUCAGAGAAGAGUAAGCAAGUAGGAC
rnacentral:lncRNA from 1 species